AGCAGCCGCGGUAAUUCCAGCUCCAAUAGCGUAUAUUAAAGUUGUUGCAGUUAAAAAGCUCGUAGUUGAAUUUCGGGAUUAGUACGCUGGUCAUGCCUUUGGUAUGUACUGGUGUUACUGGUUCCUACCUUCUGAAGAACCGUCAUGUCAUUAAUUUGGUGUGGCGGGGAAUCAGGACUGUUACUUUGAAAAAAUUAGAGUGUUUAAAGCAGGCUCGCGCUUGAAUACAUUAGCAUGGAAUAAUGAAAUAGGACGUUUGACCCUAUUUUGUUGGUUUCUAGGAUCGACGUAAUGAUUAAUAGGGAUAGUUGGGGGCAUUAGUAUUCAAUUGUCAGAGGUGAAAUUCUUGGAUUUAUUGAAGACUAACUACUGCGAAAGCAUUUGCCAAGGAUGUUUUCAUUAAUCAAGAACGAAAGUUAGGGGAUCGAAGACGAUCAGAUACCGUCGUAGUCUUAACCAUAAACUAUGCCGACUAGGGAUCGGAUGAUGUUAUUUUAAUGACUCAUUCGGCGCCUUACGG
rnacentral:rRNA from 1 species